UGCGUAGGGGGGCAAGCGUUGUCCGGAUUUAUUGGGCGUAAAGAGCGUGUAGGCGGCCAGACAGGUCUGCUGUGAAAACUCGAGGCUCAACCUCGAGACGCCGGUGGAAACCGUCUGGCUAGAGUCCGGAAGAGGAGAGUGGAAUUCCUGGUGUAGCGGUGAAAUGCGCAGAUAUCAGGAAGAACACCCGUGGCUAAGGCGGCUCUCUAGUACGGUACUGACGCUGAGACGCGAAAGCGUGGGGAGCGAACAGG
rnacentral:rRNA from 1 species